UACAGAGGGGGCAAGCGUUGUUCGGAAUUACUGGGCGUAAAGGGCGCGUAGGCGGCCUGCUAAGUCGAACGUGAAAUCCCUGGGCUCAACCCAGGAACUGCGUCCGAUACUGGUUGGCUUGAAUCCGGGAGAGGGAUGUGGAAUUCCAGGUGUAGCGGUGAAAUGCGUAGAUAUCUGGAGGAACACCGGUGGCGAAGGCGACAUCCUGGACCGGCAUUGACGCUGAGGCGCGAAAGCCAGGGGAGCGAACAGG
rnacentral:rRNA from 1 species